GAUGAACGCUGGCGGCGUGCCUAAUACAUGCAAGUCGAGCGAACAGACGAGGAGCUUGCUCCUCUGACGUUAGCGGCGGACGGGUGAGUAACACGUGGAUAACCUACCUAUAAGACUGGGAUAACUUCGGGAAACCGGAGCUAAUACCGGAUAAUAUAUUGAACCGCAUGGUUCAAUAGUGAAAGACGGUUUUGCUGUCACUUAUAGAUGGAUCCGCGCCGCAUUAGCUAGUUGGUAAGGUAACGGCUUACCAAGGCAACGAUGCGUAGCCGACCUGAGAGGGUGAUCGGCCACACGGGAACUGAGACACGGUCCAGACUCCUACGGGAGGCAGCAGUAGGGAAUCUUCCGCAAGGGGCGAAAGCCUGACGGAGCAACGCCGCGGGAGUGAUGAAGGUCUUCGGAUCGUAAAACUCUGUUAUUAGGGAAGAACAAAUGUGUAAGUAACUAUGCACGUCUUGACGGUACCUAAUCAGAAAGCCACGGCUAACUACGUG
rnacentral:rRNA from 1 species